rnacentral:misc_RNA from 1 species
UAUUAAUGAUACUACAAAAAAUAAGGGUUUAAUUUUAAUAGCAAGUUAUCAUUGCUGCUAAAAAUUAAGAAUUUAAUGUCAAAGGGAAUUAGUAGCAAGUACCAAUUGCUACAUAAAAACUUUGUAACUAAAGUUGUUAACAACACUUAACACAAAUAUUUUGUGUUAAUUAAUAUUGUUAAUAUCAAAUUUCUAAUAAGAUUAAAAUUAAUACCAUUAAAUUUAAUAUUUGUUAUAGCAAGUUGAUAAGUGAUGGAGGAAUACAUAAGUGUUGCUACAACAAUAUGUUUUAACUAGAUUCUUAUACUUACAAGGUUCCCACAAUUUUGCUUGUAGCAUCCUUAGAUUGAUCUAUGGGAAACAACCUUGCUGUUCCGAAGUCUGAAAUUUUAGGAUU